CUCACGGCCUAUCAGCUUGUUGGUGGGGUAAUGGCCUACCAAGGCGACGACGGGUAGCCGGCCUGAGAGGGUGACCGGCCACACUGGGACUGAGACACGGCCCAGACUCCUACGGGAGGCAGCAGUGGGGAAUAUUGCACAAUGGGCGCAAGCCUGAUGCAGCGACGCCGCGUGAGGGAUGACGGCCUUCGGGUUGUAAACCUCUUUCAGCACGGAAGAAGCGAAAGUGACGGUACGUGCAGAAGAAGCGCCGGCUAACUACGUGCCAGCAGCCGCGGUAAUACGUAGGGCGCAAGCGUUGUCCGGAAUUAUUGGGCGUAAAGAGCUCGUAGGCGGUUUGUCGCGUCUGCUGUGAAAGCCCGGGGCUUAACCCCGGGUGUGCAGUGGGUACGGGCAGACUUGAGUGCAGUAGGGGAGACUGGAACUCCUGGUGUAGCGGUGAAAUGCGCAGAUAUCAGGAAGAACACCGAUGGCGAAGGCAGGUCUCUGGGCUGUUACUGACGCUGAGGAGCGAAAGCAUGGGGAGCGAACAGGAUUAGAUACCCUGGUAGUCCAUGCCGUAAACGUUGGGCACUAGGUGUGGGGGACAUUCCACGUUUUCCGCGCCGUAGCUAACGCA
rnacentral:rRNA from 1 species